rnacentral:rRNA from 1 species
AACGUAGGAGACGAGCGUUAUCCGGAUUUACUGGGCGUAAAGCGUGUGCAGGCGGUUCGGCAAGUUGGAUGUGAAAUCUCCCGGCUCAACUGGGAGGCGUCGUUCAAUACUACCGGACUUGAGGGCAUCAGAGGAAGGUGGAAUUCCCGGUGUAGUGGUGAAAUGCGUAGAUAUCAGGAGGAACACCGGUGGCGAAGGCGGAUCUCUGGGCCUUACCUGACGCUCAGGCACGAAAGCUAGGGGAGCGAACAGG